GGCAAAGCGAAUCCCGAGUCCCCCUGUUUCCGAGUCAGAGGAACUAUUGAACUCGUUGUUUUCUAGGCCUUAUAUCUCUCAGCGGGACUGAGAUUGGGGUGGGGGGGCGGGGGCCAAAGAGCGACCGGCGAGCGACGCAACGGACAGUAUAACGUCGUCUGCAUACAGCGACACUUCGAACCGAAGGAAGCACGCCGCCGGUGACGACGCAAAGGGGGAGUCAAAGGUGUGAUGAUUGACGAUGACAACUCACGAGACGAGCUUGGAUGAAGGGUUCUCCGGAGGGAGUACUCACUGGACCCAACGGUAAUCUGUGUGCCUGUUUACACAAGGAGAACACAGGAGGAGUGUUUCUGUACAAACUUCAACCCAAGUCACUUGGAACCCUUUAGCUAUUUCUACAUCCAACAUUAAGCCAACUGUAUAGAGACGGUGCGACAACAGCGACAGAGAGACGAGGGAUUCCAAGGAAUUGCAGGAUUGUAUGCGGAAAAAAAAUAACGGUGUGUGUGCGUGUGUGUUUGGGUGUGUGUGUGAUGUGCGAAAGUGGGGGAGUAAGACGGCGUGUAAGUGAGUCGAUGAGUGGCAGUGCUCGUGCGAGAGAAGAAUCGAUUCUGUACAGGUAAGAAAAAAAAGAAGAAAAAAAUUGUGAAAAUAAGAAAAGACGAGGCGCACUACUAUAACUUCUCUGGCUUUUGACUUUAUAUAACUUCUUCCUUCUUUUGGGUUUCUGUUGUUCUUCUAUGUGUUCAAAGUGUUCAGAUUGUAACUACAUACAGUUUAACAACUACAGGCAGGAACUUGUGGGUCCAGCUCUGUUUUCUUUCAGCCAUUUUAGGAGUAGGGCAACAAAACCGUGUGCACCCCCCCCAAAAAACACACACAAAAAACUAAAAAGACGACAAUUCCUUUUUUUUUGCACAAAAAAGAUUUAGGUCAUGUUCCUUCUGCCGAAAAACGAAUGAAUAACUGCCAUCCUAUCGAAAAGAAAGAAAGUCUUUAGUUCCCAUUCCCGAAAAUGGCUGCAGAGAAAGUGAGAUGGGUCCUCAUUUGGAUGUGUGUUCACUUAACGCCAUUGGCCUUUUACUUAAACAAUCAAGAGACAUCCAGUGGUUUCUAUCAUGUGUGCAAAGUGUUAACUGUGCUCUUUUAAAAAGCUUACAAAUGAAUAUAAAUCUAUAUAUAAAACUCACUCUAUAUAUAUAUGAUAUACUUUUUUUCCUCUCAAGACUGUAACCAUUCGUUAGAAUCCAUCUCAUCCAUUCAGAUUAAACCAAGUGCUUUCACACAAAUCUAAUUUAAGUUGGUUUUAAAAAUCCAGGUGGCGUCCAUCUUUCAAAAUGGCGCCCUCUCCAAUCUCAUAGCAAGGCGGUGAUUACGUUGAUGUUUGAUUUCAGUUGAUGGGUUUUAUUUCCACUGUUUACAGAUGCUGGACCUUGUAUGUAGAAAAGACACCUCUUAAGUUAUAGAAGAAACUGUGAAAAUGUACACAAACGGAGACUAUCCCCAUGCAGAUACAUUUCAACAAAGGUAUUCAUGCAGUUGUACACAAUAUUAAUACAUGAAUACAUUCACACACACAUAUAUAUAUAUAUAUUUUUAAAUAUAUACAUAUAUAGACUUGGAAACAGACGAAGGCAAUCGUUAUAUCAAUGUUCACGCACAAUACACUUAUGCGCUCAUGUACGUACACACAUGCACACACAGAUGCAUACACACUCACACACACACACACAGGUCGGGUCCAAAUGGUGAUAAAUAAAUGGUGUCAUUCUGUUUUUCUAAAGCGUGUUUGUUCUCAUGCAUUGGCUAAAGAUCUGUUGUGAACACAAAGUGCAUUGUGAACUCCCGGCUUCCACGUUUCUACAUCUGUCUCGCGAUUCGUUAGCUCUUCAGCAAAUCUCACGGGCCGCACUCAUUAAAGGUUUUUUUCAUUGCUGUAGUUAGCGUGUGACAUUUAAUUCUUCAACUUAAAUAAACACUGUACUACUUCAAAUCCCAGGAUGGAAUUUAUAUCGAUAUGCCAUUUUGAAACCACCCCUAUACCAGACAGAAAAUACCGUUAUAUUUUUAAUGAAUCGCCGUCAGUAAAAUUGUAUUGUCCGUGCGCAACACACAGGAGAAGAGUUUGUUAAUGUGCUGUAGACAUUCAACAUUGGAC
ensembl:lncRNA